rnacentral:rRNA from 1 species
AUUGAACGCUGGCGGCAGGCUUAACACAUGCAAGUCGAGCGGGGGAAGGUAGCUUGCUACCGGACCUAGCGGCGGACGGGUGAGUAAUGCUUAGGAAUCUGCCUAUUAGUGGGGGACAACAUCUCGAAAGGGAUGCUAAUACCGCAUACGUCCUACGGGAGAAAGCAGGGGAUCUUCGGACCUUGCGCUAAUAGAUGAGCCUAAGUCGGAUUAGCUAGUUGGUGGGGUAAAGGCCUACCAAGGCGACGAUCUGUAGCGGGUCUGAGAGGAUGAUCCGCCACACUGGGACUGAGACACGGCCCAGACUCCUACGGGAGGCAGCAGUGGGGAAUAUUGGACAAUGGGGGGGACCCUGAUCCAGCCAUGCCGCGUGUGUGAAGAAGGCCUUAUGGCUGUAAAGCACUUUAAGCGAGGAGGAGGCUACUUUAGUUAAUACCUAGAGAUAGUGGACGUUACUCGCAGAAUAAGCACCGGCUAACUCUGUGCCAGCAGCCGCCGUAA